UGCGGGGUGGAGCAGUCUGGUAGCUCGUCGGGCUCAUAACCCGAAGGUCGGAGGUUCAAAUCCUUCUCCCGCUA
rnacentral:tRNA from 1 species